rnacentral:rRNA from 1 species
UCUUUCGCACUGAUGAUAGCUAGUUUUCUUAGAAAUGUGUAAAAGUACACAAUGAAUGUAAGGUUAAAAACGAUUAGAAAUACAACCGUUAUUAAUUUAGGUUCUAUUGGACUUUUUUGAGGAUAAGCUCGAAAAUU